rnacentral:rRNA from 1 species
UACGGGGGGGGCAAGCGUUGUUCGGAAUUACUGGGCGUAAAGGGCUCGUAGGCGGCCAACUAAGUCGGAUGUGAAAUCCCCAGGCUCAACUUGGGAACUGCAUCCGAUACUGGAUGGCUUGAAUUCGGGAGAGGGAUGCAGAAUUCCAGGUGUAGCGGUGAAAUGCGUAGAUAUCUGGAGGAAUACCGGUGGCGAAGGCGGCAUCCCGGACCGACAUUGACGCUGAGGAGCGAAAGCUAGGGGAGCAAACGGG